ensembl:lncRNA
GCUUUUUUUAGUUCUUUCUCCAAGGGUUUUCAGGUCUGGGAAUUACAGUUUCUAAGAGAAACAGUGCUGUGGCGUGUUGCCAUCCAAUACCGCUGCUGAGGUGUCUCUAGUGUCCAACAGCGCUUGAUCUGCUGCUCACGGGUUACAGAGAGACUCGGGCUGUGCCCAGAGCCGCUGUGAGUAGAGGACCUGUUGGACCUUCUCCCCACUUCCCUGCUGUGAAAACUGCUCUGGCACUGAGGGUGGGACAGUGGGCCACAGGUCCACCCUUCACCCAUGGCACCGCCUGGAUUCCCUGGACUGCUGGCUGCUGGUGGAGGCCAGCAGGGAGAGAAGGAGGGAGAG